AACGAACGCUGGCGGCAUGCCUAAUACAUGCAAGUCGAGCGAACAGAUGAAGUGCUUGCACUUCUGACGUUAGCGGCGAACGGGUGAGUAACACGUAAGGAAUCUACCUAUAAGCGGGGGAUAACAUUCGGAAACGGGUGCUAAUACCGCAUAAUAUCUUCUUCCGCAUGGAAGAAGAUUGAAAGACGGCUCUGCUGUCACUUAUAGACGACCUUGCGGUGCAUUAGUUAGUUGGUGGGGUAAUGGCCUACCAAGACGAUGAUGCAUAGCCGACCUGAGAGGGUGAACGGCCACACUGGAGCUGAGACACGGCCCAAACUCCUACGGGAGGCAGCAGUGGGGAAUCUUCCGCAAUGGGCGAAAGCCUGACGGAGCAAUGCCGCGUGAGUGAAGAAGGCCUUCGGGUCGUAAAACUCUGUUAUAAGAGAAGAACAAAUUGUAGAGUAACUGCUACAGUCUUGACGGUAUCUUAUCAGAAAGCCACGGCUAACUACGUGCCAGCCGCCGCCGUAA
rnacentral:rRNA from 1 species